AUGGCGAACCUCCCCACCCACGCCACCAACGCGGACGCCUCCGGCUUCAAGCUCUUCGGCCAGGUCAUCCAGCCCGACGCCCACCGCUCCGCCCCCGCCUCCACCUCCGUCUCCACGGGACAGAGCGCCGCGGCCCCGCCGCCUCAGCCUCCUCCUCCUCCCCCGUCGACGACGCAGCCGGCCGCGGUCGGGGGCGAGCCGUUGCCAUGCCCGCGGUGCGGGAGCAGGGAGACCAAGUUCUGCUACUUCAACAACUACAACGUGCGGCAGCCGCGCCACCUCUGCCGCGCCUGCCGCCGCUACUGGACGGCCGGCGGCGCGCUCCGCCGCGUCGCCACCGCGUCCCCGGGCCGCCGCAGGCCUCGGCCCAGCGCCCGAUCGGCCGCCGCCGCGGCCUCGGCCACCGCCUCCGCCUCCGAGGAAGGGGCAGCAGCGGAGAGCGUUGACUCGCGGUCGUAG
rnacentral:rRNA from 1 species